UACGUAGGGUGCGAGCGUUAAUCGGAAUUACUGGGCGUAAAGCGUGCGCAGGCGGUUCGCUGUGUCCUGUGUGAAAGCCCCGGGCUUAACCUGGGAAUGGCAUGGGAAACUGGCGGGCUGGAGUGUGGCAGAGGGGGGUGGAAUUCCGCGUGUAGCAGUGAAAUGCGUAGAGAUGCGGAGGAACACCGAUGGCGAAGGCAGCCCCCUGGGCUAACACUGACGCUCAGGCACGAAAGCGUGGGGAGCAAAUGGG
rnacentral:rRNA from 1 species